CCUACGGGUGACAGCAGUGAGGAAUAUUGGUCAAUGGACGCAAGUCUGAACCAGCCAUGCCGCGUGCAGGAUGACGGCCCUACGAGUUGUAAACUGCUUUUGUAAGAGGGUAAACUCAGACACGUGUACCUGUCUGAAAGUACCGUACGAAUAAGGAUCGGCUAACUCCGUUCCAGCAGCCGCGGUAAGACGGAGGAUUCGAGCGUUAUCCGGAUUUAUUGGGUUUAAAGGGUGCGUAGGUGGUCUGUUAAGUUAGGGGUGAAAGCUCGGGGCUCAACUUCGGAAUUGCAUUUGAUACUGGCAGUCUUGAGAGUAGUUGAGGUAGGCGGAAUUCAUGGUGUAGCGGUGAAAUGCUUAGAGAUCAGGCAGAACAGCGAUUGCGAAGGCAGCUAACCAAGCUACAACUGACGUUGAGGCACGAAAGCGUGGGUAGCAAACAGGAUUAGAUACCCUGGUAGUC
rnacentral:rRNA from 1 species